rnacentral:rRNA from 1 species
CCUACGGGAGGCAGCAGUGGGGAAUUUUCCGCAAUGGGCGAAAGCCUGACGGAGCAAUACCGCGUGAGGGAAGAAUGCCUACGGGUUGUAAACCUCUUUUAUCAGGGAGGAACAAAAUGACGUGUACCUGAUGAAUAAGCAUCGGCUAACUCUGUGCCAGCAGCCGCGGUAAGACAGAGGAUGCAAGUGUUAUCCGGAAUUACUGGGCGUAAAGCGUCUGUAGGUUGUUGAACAAGUCAACUGUUAAAUCUUGAAGCUCAACUUCAAAAUCGCAGUCGAAACUGUUUGACUAGAGUAUAGUAGAGGUAAAGGGAAUUUCCAGUGGAGCGGUGAAAUGCGUAGAUAUUGGAAAGAACACCGAUGGCGAAAGCACUUUACUGGGCUAUUACUGACACUCAGAGACGACAGCUAGGGUAGCAAAUGGGAUUAGAUACCCCAGUAGUCCUAGCCGUAAACUAUGGAUACUAGAUGUUGAACAGAUCGACCUGUGCAGUAUUAAAGCUAACGCGUUAAGUAUCCCGCCUGGGAAGUAUGCUGCAAAGNGUGUAAGUACAAAGAAAGUAGUUAGGCGUGAGAGNGCGACGGACGACGACGAGGGAGGAGG